rnacentral:rRNA from 1 species
GGAGUCUGGGCCGUGUCUCAGUCCCAAUGUGGCCGUUCAACCUCUCAGUCCGGCUACUGAUCGUCGACUUGGUGAGCCGUUACCUCACCAACUAUCUAAUCAGACGCGAGCUCAUCUUUAAGCGAUAAAUCUUUGAUAGACAAAUCAUGCGGUUCGUCUAUAUUAUGCGGUAUUACCAUCCGUUUCCAAAUGUUAUUCCCCACUUAAAGGCAGAUUGCUCACGUGUUACUCACCCGUCCGCCACUGAUCGGGUUCCAAGCAAGCUUGAAACCGUCACCGUUCGACUUGCAUGUGUUAAGCGUGCCGCCAGCGUUCGUCCUGAGCCAGGAUCAAACUACU